UAGAGUUUGAUCAUGGCUCAGAUUGAACGCUGGCGGCAGGCCUAACACAUGCAAGUCGAGCGGAUGAGGGGUGCUUGCACUCUGAUUCAGCGGCGGACGGGUGAGUAAUGCCUAGGAAUCUGCCCGAUAGUGGGGGACAACGUUUCGAAAGGAACGCUAAUACCGCAUACGUCCUACGGGAGAAAGUGGGGGAUCUUCGGACCUCACGCUAUCGGAUGAGCCUAGGUCGGAUUAGCUAGUUGGUGAGGUAAUGGCUCACCAAGGCGACGAUCCGUAACUGGUCUGAGAGGAUGAUCAGUCACACUGGAACUGAGACACGGUCCAGACUCCUACGGGAGGCAGCAGUGGGGAAUAUUGGACAAUGGGCGAAAGCCUGAUCCAGCCAUGCCGCGUGUGUGAAGAAGGUCUUCGGAUUGUAAAGCACUUUAAGUUGGGAGGAAGGGCUGUCGGCUAAUACCCUGCAGUUUUGACGUUACCAACAGAAUAAGCACCGGCUAACUUCGUGCCAGCAGCCGCGGUAAUACGAAGGGUGCAAGCGUUAAUCGGAAUUACUGGGCGUAAAGCGCGCGUAGUGGUUCACAAGUUGGAUGUGAAAGCCCCGGGCUCACCUGGGAACUGCUCCAAACUACCGAGCUAAAUACGGU
rnacentral:rRNA from 1 species